AAAUCAUCCGCCCGGGUAAUACGAGCAUUAGCUUAAAACCCAAAGGACUUGGCGGUGCUUUAGACCCCCCUAGAGGAGCCUGUUCUAGAACUGAUAACCCCCGUUAAACCUCACCACCCCUUGUUUUACCCGCCUAUAUACCACCGUCGUCAGCUUACCCUGUGAAGGUAACGUAGUGAGCACAAAUGGCAAAGCCAUAAACGUCAGGUCGAGGUGUAGCGAAUGGGGUGGGAAGAAAUGGGCUACAUUCUCUAUUGCAGAGAAUACGAAUGGUAGUUUGAAAAAACCACCUGAAGGAGGAUUUAGCAGUAAGUAGAGAAUAGAGAGCUCUGCUGAAAACGGCCCUGAAGCGCGCACAC
rnacentral:rRNA from 1 species